GGAGAGCACGUGCAUUGUGUUCCCCAUUCACCAAUCCCUUAAAGAGAAGGAAGUUGUUGAAUGUGAAGGUGUUUGAACCGUUUCGAGAAGUGGAUCCUGCAAAAGUCAGUGAUCUCACAAAGUGGUUGGAAAAAGCUUCACCAAGUGACGAUAUGCCAUUAGCAAUCUGUGACGUUCGGAGGAAUUUUUUUGAUGAUUUGCUUAAUGAGAACGGGUGGCUUAUUGAUGACCAUGUGGAUUCGGCAUUAUUUCAUAUAAGAGAGCGAGCAGUGAAGUAUGAAAAACUCUUUCGACAAGAUUGUGCCAUUAUGGACUCUGGAUUUUGGCAAUUUGUGAAGAAGGCCUACCAUGAAAUGGGGAAUCCUG